AAUAAAGUGAAGUUUUUAAUUUUGUAAAAAAAGUAAUAUUGUUAUGCAUCAAAUAAUACAAUAUAUUUUUAUAUAUCUACACGUUAAGUAUUUAUAAACUCAUAACAUUAUAUAUAUGUGCGCACUAUUGUUAUAUGCUUUUUGAAACCUAUGGUCGCUUAUAAUAAAAAUACACGUAGAGUAAGUCAUAUUUUUCUUUUUUUUUUUUUUCUGACUAAUAUGCCCAUUUUUUGCUGAAGCAAUUAAUAUUACUUUUAUCGCAUUUUAUUUGUAUUCGCAUUAUUUAUUUAUUUUUUUUUUAAGUAAUGUUAAAAAGUAAACGCAAAAAAGAUAUCAGCGAUGAUGAUUUUGUAAGCGAGAAACAAAAUACCCAUGGAGGUAAUAAACAUAUGUUAACUCUCGAAUCUAGUCAUAUUGUGAAAUCUAUUGACAAAGAUGUAAAGAAGAAAAUAGAAGAAGGUAAAAUUUUUUUAAGUGAUAUAAGUCCUUUAAAAAAUGCAGAAAUUGAAGAAGCUUUUUUAAAAAGUUUGUAUAAGAGACCUGAAUAUUAUGAUAAUAUUAAUAGUGGUAGUAGUAGUCGUAAUAUUAGUAGCGAUUAUAACGUUAAUAGACAUAUAACUACUAAUACUGAUAAUGUUUCAUAUAAAAAAUUGAAUAAGAAGAAAACAACUGAUACUAAUGUUCUUAUGAAUAUAAAAGAAAAUUAUAAGAAACUUGGGUAUUACAAUUCUUUUGCAAAUAUAAACGAAUGUGAUAAAAAAGGUAGUAACAAUAGCAGUAGAUGUAGUAGUAAAAACGUGUUAAAAAAGGCGAAUAAAAAGGUUGUAACAAGGGGAGGUAAUAACAAUAACAAAAAUAAAAACAUUUACGAUAUUAUUAAUUGGAAGAAAUAUCGAAAAAAUGAUGAGCAAAAUGAUGAGCAAAAUGAUGAGCAAAAUGAUGAGCAAAAUGAUGAACAAAAUGAUGAACAAAAUGAUGAACAAAAUGAUGANNNNNNNNNNGAUGAACAAAAUGAUGAACAAAAUGAUGAACAAAAUGAUGAACAAAACGAUACACAGAACGACGAAUGUAAAAAAAAAUACGAAAUAGCAUCAUCAUCUCCUACAGCAUCCACAGCUUCUCCUUUAUUGUAUUAUAAUAAAAUAAUAAAUACAUUAGUAAAAGGUAAGAACGCGGGGAAUUUUUUAGAUAAAUGCUCUGUUACUUCUAAAGAGUUUACCAACACUUUAGAAAAAGAAACAACUACAUAUAUAAAAUCGAGAGAAAACAAAAUACAAAAAAAAAGAUUAAAUGCGAAUUUAGAAGCAUUACGCUUACAAUAUAUACCAAUAAACAAUAAUAAGUUUAUUAACUUACCAAGAGAAGUAAAAGAAAAUAUUUUGGCUUUAUUUGCAUGUAUUGUUAUUAAACAUAUUGAUUCUAUAGAUGAUGUAGAUGUACAAAAUCAUUUAGAUAAAAUUUCUAUAAAUUUUUUAAAACAGCUAUCUGAUUUAUUAGUUAUAGAUCCAUUAGCAUACCAAUGUAUAGUCAAACCUUUAGAACAGAGACAAAUGUUAAGCGACAUAACAGGUGACCGUAAAAUUUACAAACUAAGUGAAAAACCAUUUAUCGACAAUUUAAUAGAACAGAUUAAACCGUUGCAAAUAGAAGUUGAUAAAAAAUUUAAAAAAGUAGUUGAAGAAUUACAUAAUGAAAUAGAUUUUUGGCAAAAUGAUCACAUUGAUGACCAUAAUGAGACAUUGAAUUCGCAUAUGGGGAGUUUCGAUGAUAAUUUUGAGGAAUAUACGGAUUGUGAGGUUGGUGGUGAAGUUGGUGGUGCAGUUGGUGGUGAAGUUGAUGGUGAAGUUGGUGGUGAAGUUGAUGGUGAAAGUAGUAAUGAGAGUGACAGCGAUAGUGGUGGCGAACGUAGCGAGGAUAACUUACAUACUGAGCUAAAUACAACGGGAAAAAAAAAAAAUAAAAAAAAAAAAACAGUUGUUAACAAUAAUAGUAGUACUUGUUUAGGUGAACAGAAUAAAUUUGAAAAUGGGAACGAAAAAAAUGAACAGUAUUAUAAGUUAAAAAAAAAAAAAAAAAAAAAAAAAAAAAAAAAAUCGAAUUUUCCUUAUGAUGAUAAUAAGAAUAAUGAGCAUAAACCAAAAAAUUCAUCUUUUUAUACAUAUGUGCAAAGAGAAAUUGAUGAAACAUAUAAUGCGGAAGCAAUAAAUGAUUAUUUUUCAUUUACAUCAAACAAAAGUAAACAUCAUUGUUCUGAAAAUAUAGAACAACAGAAAGUUAUUACAAAAGUAGACCAAAAAAACAAAAACAAAAUAGAGUUAAAAAAUGUUAAAGAUGAUAAUAAUUUAAAAAAUGAAGAAGUGUAUAAAUGUUUAAGUCUACAAGGCGAUUCAAAUGGUAUUACAUCGUUUGUAGAUGUGAACCAAUUUAAUAAUAGUGUUACUAGAGAUAGUGGUAAUAAUAGAUGUAUUAAUUAUGUUGAACAUGAUAAUAAGGAUAAGGAAAAAUAUAGAUCAGGUAGUUCGAAUCGGGUAGGUCUUGAUAGUGGUAGUAGUGGUAGUAGUUGUAGUGGUAUUAGUGGUAGUAGUGGUAGUAGUGGUAGUGGUAGUAGUGAUAGUAGUAGUAGUGGUGGUAGAAGUUCGGUAGGUCCAAAUCCCAGUCCGUCAUCAUCUAUUACAUUGUCGUUUAACAAGAAGAAACCAUCUGAAUUGUUAAACAAAAUGGAAGUAAAAAAUGAUAAAGACCAUACAAAUAAUAUAAGCAAUAGCAUUAGUGACAAUUUUUUAUGUAUGAACAAAAAGGAUAAGGAUAUAAUGGAUUUUCAAUAUGCUGAAAGCAACAUUAGUUGUAGUGGACUUACUUUUGAAAAAGAACAGAAACGAAAUGUUUUUACUGAUGAUUUGGAGCCACAAAAUGAUUCUACUACUACUAAUGUAGGUAGUUAUUACAGUAGUAAUAGAAGGUAUGACAAGAUUGAUAGAUGUGAUAUGGAGAGGGAAGUAAAUGAGAUUGGGAAUAGAGAUGGUCCAAGAUUUAGCCCAACAUAUAGCUCAGCGCGUAAUCCUAUACAUAGUCCAACAUAUAGCGAAAUAAAUGAAGGUAUAAAUGAAGGUAUAAGUGGAGGUAUAAAUGAAGGUAUAAAUGAACUGAAAGAUGAGCUACGAAAUGAGAAAAAAAGCUUAAAAUAUAAAAUAAGAAAGAGUUUGAAAGAUUCAUCUGAUUAUACAAGUAGUGAUAGUAGUAGUUAUGAUGAAAGUGAUGCGGAUAAAUACUUAAAACAUGGAGUACCAAUAAAAGGACCAGAUAUAAAAUCAGUUAUACUAAGAGACUUAAUAACAAGUUAUAUAAUGACAGGUAAUAACAAUGCAAGAAUUCAAUUAUAUUUUCGAAAUUUUGCUAAAUGUUUAAAAAUGAAUGAAUUAUUAAUAUUAACAAUAGAAGAAAAUUUAGCUGCUGAUUUAAUUAAUGCUUUACAAGCUUCUAUUAAUGAAACAUCAAAAAAAAAGAAUAUAAGACGAGUAAAGAUAGCAGCUGCUGCUUUAGGUGGUGGCGCAUUAUUAGCUUUUACUGCUGGUUUA
rnacentral:lncRNA from 1 species